rnacentral:rRNA from 1 species
GACGAACGCUGGCGGCGUGCUUAACACAUGCAAGUCGAACGGAAAGGCCCUGCUUUUGUGGGGUGCUCGAGUGGCGAACGGGUGAGUAACACGUGAGUAACCUGCCCCUGACUUUGGGAUAACUUCUGGAAACUGCGGCUAAUACCGGAUACGAGCUCCUUCUGCAUGGUGGGGGUCUGGAAGGUUCUGCGGUUGGGGAUGGACUCGCGGCUUAUCAGCUUGUUGGUGGGGUAGUGGCUUACCAAGGCUUUGACGGGUAGCCGGCCUGAGAGGGUGACCGGCCACACUGGGACUGAGACACGGCCCAGACUCCUACGGGAGGCAGCAGUGGGGAAUAUUGCACAAUGGGCGGAAGCCUGAUGCAGCGACGCCGCGUGCGGGAUGACGGCCUUCGGGUUGUAAACCGCUUUCGGCUGGGACGAAGCGUGAGUGACGGUACCGGGUAAAGAAGCACCGGCUAACUACGUG